AUGUUAGCCUCUGGGGUUUCUCAGCAGUUUCAACAAGGAGUUGAUGAGGAAAUGAUAGAUAUCAUUACCAGUAUCAUCAUAAUACUGACAGGUUUUCCUCCAGUAAAUGCAGAGCAUGUUUAUCACCUGCUGCAGCAUAUCUAUACUUUUCCUCACCCCUACCGCACAAUAAGAGAGCAUACAGGAGGUACUCUUCCAAUCCCUCUAACAGUCGCAGCAAGUCUUCCAGGUUGGGAAAACGUUGCUCCUCAGCAAAUGAAUUUUAUGCAUGCCGUUUUCAAUCACAUCCUUGAACAGGAUCAAAAGUUGGUCCGCGAUCUAUUCUAUAGACAACUCGGUCGUGCUCCCACAGUGCAAGAAUUCGCCCAGUUCCUUUUGAACUUCGAAGGUAAUGAGCUGGUUGAGUCCCCUCGCAAGACUCUAGGAGCUAAGAGUCACCUUAGAACGUCAACGAAAGGAUAUGGGAUGGUUGAGAGAAAUAAACAGGUUCUUGGCCAACAUAACACAGCUUUUAGGAGAUUCAAACACUCGGACUAUGAGAAGAGUUAA
rnacentral:sRNA from 1 species